rnacentral:rRNA from 1 species
GACGAACGCUGGCGGCGUGCCUAAUACAUGCAAGUAGAACGCUGAAGGAGGAGCUUGCUCUUCUGGAUGAGUUGCGAACGGGUGAGUAACGCGUAGGUAACCUGCCUGGUAGCGGGGGAUAACUAUUGGAAACGAUAGCUAAUACCGCAUAACAGUAGAUGUUGCAUGACAUUUGCUUAAAAGGUGCAAUUGCACCACUACCAGAUGGACCUGCGUUGUAUUAGCUAGUUGGUGGGGUAACGGCUCACCAAGGCGACGAUACAUAGCCGACCUGAGAGGGUGAGCGGCCACACUGGGACUGAGACACGGCCCAGACUCCUACGGGAGGCAGCAGUAGGGAAUCGUCGGCAAUGGACGGAAGUCGGACCGAGCAACGCCGCGUGAGUGAAGAAGGUUUUCGGAUCGUAAAGCUCUGUUGUAAGAGAAGAACGAGUGUGAGAGUGGAAAGUUCACACUGUGACGGUAUCUUACCAGAAAGGGACGGCUAACUACGUG